UGGAACUUGCUUCUCUCUUAAGAUAGUUGCUGCUCAAAUAACCGACACCACCUCUCAUUGGCUUCCAUUCAAUCCAAUUUUACCAUCAAACUAAAGCUCAUUGUCUUUCUUUUGCUUCCUCAUGUUGGUUUUCUGAAAUCUUUCUUGAAACCUUACCAAAUCUCCUUUCUAACCUUGAAAAAUGGAGGUUUGAUCUCUUGAACCCACUUUCGGAUCGUCUUUCGAUUCUAGACAGCCUUCUCUCCACUAAGACUUUCC
rnacentral:lncRNA from 1 species